AGCGAACGCUGGCGGCAGGCCUAACACAUGCAAGUCGAACGAACCUUUCGGGGUUAGUGGCGGACGGGUGAGUAACACGUGGGAACGUGCCUUUAGGUUCGGAAUAACUCAGGGAAACUUGUGCUAAUACCGAAUGUGCCCUUCGGGGGAAAGAUUAAUCGCCUUUAGAGCGGCCCGCGUCUGAUUAGCUAGUUGGUUGAGGUAAUGGCUCACCAAGGCGACGAUCAGUAGCUGGUCUGAGAGGAUGAUCAGCCACAUUGGGACUGAGACACGGCCCAAACUCCUACGGGAGGCAGCAGUGAGGAAUCUUGCGCAAUGGGCGAAAGACUGACGCAGCCAUGCCGCGUGAAUGAUGAAGGUCUUAGGAUUGUAAAAUUCUUUCAACAGGGACGAUAAUGACGGUACCCGGAGAAGAAGCCCCGGCUAACUUCGUG
rnacentral:rRNA from 1 species